rnacentral:lncRNA from 1 species
UCCCUUAAGAACAGCCACCCAGGCUAGGAUUAGCAUGAAGGGCUGCUAGGCUGGCACUUCAGUGUCUGGGUUAAAAAUAUUUUAAAGCAGUAAAUGCAGUCAGAACAGAGAGAGAGAUCCCUGGGAGCCUUCCUGUUCAAAAAUGUGCGAGCUCAGGGCAGCAACUGCAAUGUAAUUUAGGACAGUAUAUGCUUCAUAGCUUUAGAGAAUAUUGCCUCUUGUUAAUGUUACAUUGGAGGACAGUGGGAUAGUGGUAAUUUUAGAGAGGCGGUGUUCCUGUUUGUUUUACAUCGAAAACUUCCGAAUAAAUAAAAAGAAGCAUGAAUUGAGGAAGAAAUGUAACUGCUGAAACCCAGCAAUGACUCCACUCUGAGCAGACUGUAGAAACAACAGGGGAAGGUGGGCAUACAAACGUUGUCGUGGGAAUGUGGCUUGGAAGGGAACUUAGCAGACAAAGGCGAAAUCAGGUAUGUACUUCAAAUGGCAUGUGGGCAAACUUUUGUCUGUGAGCCCAGUGAGGAGCCUGCUCACAUGAAAUUACAAAAUGUUUGGGGGGAUCGAAUGACAAAAAAGCUUGUAUUGCUUUUCCAUUGCUGAAGAAAUGGGGCUGUCUAUAAGCAGAAGUGAUUCAAAUAGCUCUUUUCAAAGAAGUGCUCUGGAGAGCGAGGGAGAUUUUUCAUUUCCAUUCCUUUACCAAGAUUAUUUCCUUCUUUUCCUCUUCACGUCUCACAGAGUUCCCUUUAAAUCUGCAAGUGAAAAGGAUGGUCUGAGCUACCUAGGGAGGCUCGAAUCUGAAUUCUGUUUGUGUCAGGCUCUGUGAGCUUGGUGAUCUCUGUUUAUCUCUUAGGAAAUAGUUGUGCUUGCACAACACUGCAAAUGCAAUGUGCAGAUGUCAGGACAGCUAAAACAAAGAAGGCCGUCUAGGAAAAGCAACGCCAGACCUGAUGGCAGAGUGGAGAAGCAGCGGAGAGGACUUGUGCCUUCUUUUCUUCCUUGUGCCUCUGCGUGGCCGUAGGACAAGUAGAGGCUGAAUUGCGUCUGUCCCAGAGGAACCAUGAAUUAAGUCUCUGCAAUCAGUGACAGUUCUGACUUCGGAAACGGGCACGAGCUGGUUUUUCCAAGCGAUCGAGUUACCACAGUUUAAGAGAUUUUCAAAAGCAAUUGCAACAGCCUGAGAGCAUCCACACAGGAAGUUACAGCUCAGCUGGCGCAUGGCAAACCGUGAAGCUGCGGUAAGUCUGUCUUACCAUCAUGUCUGCGAAUGCUUUGUAGACGCGUUUAUCCUGAGUGCAUUAACAUUCAUUUUCUGUAACGUUGGGUUUAGGCAUAGCGCAACUGAGUGACGAAGGCAAAGAUAGUCUAAAAGACUAUUCCCAAGAACUAAGUAACAAUAAAUCAGAGCUUGGAUGCUUUUAUAUUCUCUUUAUUUAUUUAUUUUUUUUGCCAAAUACUACUUAGACUAUAAUAACACCUAAGUAUGAAGUUCAGCUGUUACAUAGUGCUUUUUACUCACAGAUUUCAGAGUACUUUAUCAAAGAGGUAACUUACGAUUAUUGCUAUUUUUUGGGUGGAGACGUGACAUCAGAAGAUGUUGAGAUCACUCACCCAAACAAAGAUCAAGCUGGAAUAAUGUAUGUGUAUGCUUUUAUUCUGGGUCCAGUAUGUUGCCCCCUGAAUCUUAGUAUCGUUUUUAUAAACGUGAAAUUUUGAAGAGUUCUUAGUAGAGGGUUGAGGAUUUGCUGGUUGUUCGGAGGAUCAGAGCUGAACUUAAGGGUCUCCAAGAGUCACAGUCCAAGUGUAGAUUCACAGGAGGGAUAGGCCAGUCGCCUUGUCCGAUCUCCCAUAUUCCUUCUCCUUCAUCAGGAAACAUGCCUGUGGGAGCAUAUGCCACUUUUCACCUUUUUUCUUGGCUCUGCUUUUGGCCUGAGAAAAAACGGUGGAGGUAGAAACUCUACUUAUGCCCAUUCCCAGUUCCUGACCUCGUCUGGAUUACUUAGAAAUUUCUGCACAAAAUUCUAUCUCGCUCUUUGUGGAAACCAAGCAAGGCCCUAAGAGAAACUUACAUUAUAUAAGGAAAUAUCUUCUGUGCUUUUGAGUGUCUUGUUUUUAUAUUUGGGACAAGGUUUGGAAUGAUUUUUAUUUUCUGCAUAGAAUCAGUUAUUCUUCCACAUGUUGUGGAAGACACCUAUUUAAAGACUGGGAGAAAUUACCCCACUGGCUUCAUGAAGCAGCCCUUCUUAUAAAAGGGGUGGAAUUAUUUCUGGAGAGCUGUCAUAAAGAAAUCACAGCUUUAAUGCAUGAUUUAUGUAACUCAGAGAAGGCGCCGUAAGUAGUCAGGUGCAAGGUGAGGUCAGUGGUAGGAGAAAGAGUUUACAAAGCCUGUUCUAUGCUCUUCAAUGCCUGUGCAUUUACAGUAGCUUUUGUUUCCUGGUGCCUUUGUUUUUUAGAGUAUGAUCAUUUCCAUACACGCUACUGAAAAAAAAAAAUACAAAAGGUUUCAAUAUACAGUAGUUAAUUACUAUAUUACAAGCUCUAAUUAAAUUCUUGGAGAUUCUGCACAGUAUGAUGUUCAUGCCAAGAGGGACAUAUCCUGUCCUUAAGUGAAUACAUGUUCUUGUCAAGUUAACUUAUCUGCAUUUUACUCACAUGAAAUAUUCCUCAUCUCUUGCUUCUUGACACACGUGACUGAUAAAUGUUUUAAAGGCACAUUUAACAUUGAUAUUUUUGUCAUAGGAAAUGACAAUGACUUCAGUAAUUCCCAGGCUUUAUUUUAUACAAAGUGACACACCAUGUGAUGGCAGACUCCCCAGACCUUAAUGUAAGCCACACGCUGUGUUUUCCAGCUAUGCACAUCUCUCCUUUAUCAUUGGACUUGUGAUGGCUCAGUGAUUAUACAGUACUUCAAAAAUCGGAACUUGGCCAAAUUACUUCUCCUUCAUGCCAUUUAGACAGAAGGCUUUCAUAAAAAUUAAACAGUAAGUAACUCAUGUGAAAUUGCACCUUGCACUUACUGCUUUUAGUGGCGCUGGGGUGAGCGAUACUCUGAAAGUCAGUAUUCGGAAUGUGUCUGAAUGAAUGGCUACCACCAACUUCUCUCGUAGUGUCCCUGCAUGCCUGAGGUAGGUUGGAAGAAGGAUUCCUUCCACAAGCAGAGUUUUGCAUGCUCUCCUCUUCUGCCUGGCCUCCCCCAGCGGCUGAGAAGUGCACUGGCUGCCAAGCCCCGGGCUUGCAGCACUGAAUGACGUUGUACAGGCUCCAAUCAAGUACCCAGGGGUAGCAGCAUUCUGUUGCUUUCAACCUCUCUUGGAUUUGAAGCGGGGAUACUGAAGACUUGCCAGUAAGAAGCUCCGUAGACUCACCUUGUGUAUGCUGAGAUAGAUGAAACUGGCAAGGGUAGCUGCUGUUUCCCCUCUCUUAACAGUUUAUGACAUCCUUUUGAAGCAUAACAUGUGGUGCUGUGCUCUUCUGCAGGAGCCAGUCCUAUCUCCUUCCCCCACUUCCUUUCUGCUGUUGUUCUGGUAACUGACCACUUAUCGCACUUAUGAUCUUUGUAAUUGAAACUGAGAAAGCCUGUGGCAGUUCUGCCUAGACAUGCUACAAUCACACUUCUGAUGGCAAAGUACACAUCCCUUAGGAG